rnacentral:rRNA from 1 species
CAGCACCUCAAGUGGUCAGGAUGAUUAUUGGGCCUAAAGCAUCCGUAGCCGGCUCUGUAAGUUUUCGGUUAAAUCUGUACGCUCAACGUACAGGCUGCCGGGAAUACUGCAGAGCUAGGGAGUGGGAGAGGUAGACGGUACUCGGUAGGAAGGGGUAAAAUCCUUUGAUCUAUUGAUGACCACCUGUGGCGAAGGCGGUCUACCAGAACACGUCCGACGGUGAGGGAUGAAAGCUGGGGGCGCAAAACGGAUUAGAGACCCGAGUAGUCC